rnacentral:rRNA from 1 species
GUGCCAGCAGCCGCGGUAAUACGUAGGGUGCGAGCGUUGUCCGGAAUUACUGGGCGUAAAGAGCUCGUAGGUGGUUUGUCGCGUUGUUCGUGAAAACUCACAGCUUAACUGUGGGCGUGCGGGCGAUACGGGCAGACUAGAGUACUGCAGGGGAGACUGGAAUUCCUGGUGUAGCGGUGGAAUGCGCAGAUAUCAGGAGGAACACCGGUGGCGAAGGCGGGUCUCUGGGCAGUAACUGACGCUGAGGAGCGAAAGCGUGGGGAGCGAACAGGAUUGGAUACCCUGGUAGUCCACGCCGUAAACGGUGGGUACUAGGUGUGGGUUCCUUCCUUGGGAUCCGUGCCGUAGCUAACGCAUUAAGUACCCCGCCUGGGGAGUACGGCCGCAAGGCUAAAACUCAAAGGAAUUGACGGGGGCCCGCACAAGCGGCGGAGCAUGUGGAUUAAUUCGAUGCAACGCGAAGAACCUUACCUGGGUUUGACA